rnacentral:rRNA from 1 species
UCCGGUUGAUCCUGCCGGACCCAACUGCUAUCAGAGUGGGACUAAGCCAUGCGAGUCGAACGCCUCUCGACCACGUGAGAGGCGUGGCAGACGGCUCAGUAACACGUAGCCAACCUACUCUGAAGACGUGGAUAACCCCGGGAAACUGGGACUAAUCCACGAUAGAUCAAGACACCUGGAAUGGGUCUUGAUCGAAAGGGUCAGAAGGGCAUGUCCUCCUGACCGCUUCAGAAUGGGGCUGCGGCCGAUCAGGUAGUUGGUGGGGUAAUGGCCCACCAAGCCUAUAACCGGUACGGGCUUUGGAAGAAGGAGCCCGGAGAUGGACACUGAGAUAAGGGUCCAGGCCCUACGGGGCGCAGCAGGCGCGAAACCUUCGCAAUGCGCGAAAGCGCGACGAGGCUACUCUGAGUGCCAUCCGCUGAGGAUGGCUUUUCUCGGGUCUAAAAAGCCCGAGGAAUAAGGGGAGGGCAAGUCUGGUGUCAGCCGCCGCGGUAAUACCAGCUCCUCGAGUGGUUGGGGCGUUUAUUGGGCCUAAAGCAUCCGUAGCCGGCUCCAUAGGUCCUUCGUUAAAUCCAACGGCUCAACCGUUGGGCUGCGGAGGAUACCGUGGGGCUAGGGAGCGGGAGAGGCGGACGGUACUCCGUGGGUAGGGGUAAAAUCCGCUGAUCCACGGAAGACCACCAGUGGCGAAGGCGGUCCGCCAGAACGCGUCCGACGGUGAGGGAUGAAAGCUGGGGGAGCGAACCGGAUUAGAUACCCGGGUAGUCCCAGCCGUAAACGAUGCGAGCUAGGUGAUGGAGCGGCUACGUGCCGUUCCAGUGCCGCAGGGAAGCCGUUAAGCUCGCCGCCUGGGGAGUACGGCCGCAAGGCUGAAACUUAAAGGAAUUGGCGGGGGAGCACCACAAGGGGUGAAGCCUGCGGUUUAAUUGGAGUCAACGCCGGGAACCUUACCGGGGGAGACAGCAGGAUGAAGGUCAGGCUGAAGACUUUACCAGACGAGCUGAGAGGUGGUGCAUGGCC